rnacentral:tRNA from 1 species
UCCUCUGUAGUUCAGUCGGUAGAACGGCGGACUGUUAAUCCGUAUGUCNAAUCCGUAUGUCACUGGUUCGAGUCCAGUCAGAGGAG